rnacentral:rRNA from 1 species
GGGUUGUGAGGUUAAGCGACUAAGCGUACACGGUGGAUGCCCUGGCAGUCAGAGGCGAUGAAGGACGUGCUAAUCUGCGAAAAGCGCCGGCGAGGUGAUAUGAACCUUUGACCCGGCGAUGUCCGAAUGGGGAAACCCAGUGUGUUUCGACACACUAUCGUUAACUGAAUACAUAGGUUAACGAGGCGAACCGGGGGAACUGAAACAUCUAAGUACCCCGAGGAAAAGAAAUCAACCGAGAUUCCCCCAGUAGCGGCGAGCGAACGGGGAGCAGCCCAGAGUCUGAAUCAGCUUGUGUGUUAGUGGAAGCGUCUGGAAAGUCGCACGGUACAGGGUGAAAGUCCCGUACACGAAAGCACACAGGCUGUGAACUCGAAGAGUAGGGCGGGACACGUGGUAUCCUGUCUGAAUAUGGGGGGACCAUCCUCCAAGGCUAAAUACUCCUGACUGACCGAUAGUGAACCAGUACCGUGAGGGAAAGGCGAAAAGAACCCCGGCGAGGGGAGUGAAAAAGAACCUGAAACCGUGUACGUACAAGCAGUGGGAGCACCUUCGUGGUGUGACUGCGUACCUUUUGUAUAAUGGGUCAGCGACUUAUAUUCUGUAGCAAGGUUAACCGUAUAGGGGAGCCGAAGGGAAACCGAGUCUUAACUGGGCGUUAAGUUGCAGGGUAUAGACCCGAAACCCGGUGAUCUAGCCAUGGGCAGGUUGAAGGUUGGGUAACACUAACUGGAGGACCGAACCGACUAAUGUUGAAAAAUUAGCGGAUGACUUGUGGCUGGGGGUGAAAGGCCAAUCAAACCGGGAGAUAGCUGGUUCUCCCCGAAAGCUAUUUAGGUAGCGCCUCGUGAACUCAUCUUCGGGGGUAGAGCACUGUUUCGGCUAGGGGGCCAUCCCGGCUUACCAACCCGAUGCAAACUACGAAUACCGAAGAAUGUUAUCACGGGAGACACACGGCGGGUGCUAACGUCCGUCGUGAAGAGGGAAACAACCCAGACCGCCAGCUAAGGUCCCAAAGUCAUGGUUAAGUGGGAAACGAUGUGGGAAGGCACAGACAGCCAGGAUGUUGGCUUAGAAGCAGCCAUCAUUUAAAGAAAGCGUAAUAGCUCACUGGUCGAGUCGGCCUGCGCGGAAGAUGUAACGGGGCUAAACCAUGCACCGAAGCUGCGGCAGCGACACUAUGUGUUGUUGGGUAGGGGAGCGUUCUGUAAGCCGUUGAAGGUGGCCUGUGAGGGUUGCUGGAGGUAUCAGAAGUGCGAAUGCUGACAUAAGUAACGAUAAAGCGGGUGAAAAGCCCGCUCGCCGGAAGACCAAGGGUUCCUGUCCAACGUUAAUCGGGGCAGGGUGAGUCGACCCCUAAGGCGAGGCCGAAAGGCGUAGUCGAUGGGAAACAGGUUAAUAUUCCUGUACUUGGUGUUACUGCGAAGGGGGGACGGAGAAGGCUAUGUUAGCCGGGCGACGGUUGUCCCGGUUUAAGCAUGUAGGCGGAGGUUCCAGGUAAAUCCGGUACCUUUUAACGCUGAGGUGUGAUGACGAGGCACUACGGUGCUGAAGUAACAAAUGCCCUGCUUCCAGGAAAAGCCUCUAAGCAUCAGGUAACAUCAAAUCGUACCCCAAACCGACACAGGUGGUCAGGUAGAGAAUACCAAGGCGCUUGAGAGAACUCGGGUGAAGGAACUAGGCAAAAUGGUGCCGUAACUUCGGGAGAAGGCACGCUGAUAUGUAGGUGAAGCCCCUGCGGGUGGAGCUGAAAUCAGUCGAAGAUACCAGCUGGCUGCAACUGUUUAUUAAAAACACAGCACUGUGCAAACACGAAAGUGGACGUAUACGGUGUGACGCCUGCCCGGUGCCGGAAGGUUAAUUGAUGGGGUUAGCGGCAACGCGAAGCUCUUGAUCGAAGCCCCGGUAAACGGCGGCCGUAACUAUAACGGUCCUAAGGUAGCGAAAUUCCUUGUCGGGUAAGUUCCGACCUGCACGAAUGGCGUAAUGAUGGCCAGGCUGUCUCCACCCGAGACUCAGUGAAAUUGAACUCGCUGUGAAGAUGCAGUGUACCCGCGGCAAGACGGAAAGACCCCGUGAACCUUUACUAUAGCUUGACACUGAACACUGGUCCUUGAUGUGUAGGAUAGGUGGGAGGCUUUGAAGCGUGGACGCCAGUCUGCGUGGAGCCGUCCUUGAAAUACCACCCUUUAAUGGCUGGUGUUCUAACGUAGACCCGUGAUCCGGGUUGCGGACAGUGUCUGGUGGGUAGUUUGACUGGGGCGGUCUCCUCCCAAAGAGUAACGGAGGAGCACGAAGGUUAGCUAAUCCUGGUCGGACAUCAGGAGGUUAGUGCAAUGGCAUAAGCUAGCUUGACUGCGAGAGUGACGGCUCGAGCAGGUGCGAAAGCAGGUCAUAGUGAUCCGGUGGUUCUGAAUGGAAGGGCCAUCGCUCAACGGAUAAAAGGUACUCCGGGGAUAACAGGCUGAUACCGCCCAAGAGUUCAUAUCGACGGCGGUGUUUGGCACCUCGAUGUCGGCUCAUCACAUCCUGGGGCUGAAGUAGGUCCCAAGGGUAUGGCUGUUCGCCAUUUAAAGUGGUACGCGAGCUGGGUUUAGAACGUCGUGAGACAGUUCGGUCCCUAUCUGCCGUGGGCGCUGGAGAAUUGAGGGGGGCUGCUCCUAGUACGAGAGGACCGGAGUGGACGCAUCACUGGUGUUCGGGUUGUCAUGCCAAUGGCACUGCCCGGUAGCUAAAUGCGGAAAAGAUAAGUGCUGAAAGCAUCUAAGCACGAAACUUGCCCCGAGAUGAGUUCUCCCUGAGACUUUAAGUCUCCUGAAGGAACGUUGAAGACGACGACGUUGAUAGGUCGGGUGUGUAAGCGCAGCGAUGCGUUGAGCUAACCGAUACUAAUGAACCGUGAGGCUUAACCUUACAACGCCGAAGGUGUUU